rnacentral:lncRNA from 1 species
AGACAAUGCCCAGACACAUGGGAAACCCGCUGUGGAGCGUGGCCCGGGGGUGGGGUGAGCACCCUGGGAGGUUGUACAGCAACCCUCUCCGGGUGAGAGCCGGUGGUGGCGGCUUGGGCCAAGUGCGCAGGGGAGGAGAAUCCUCGGAGCAAUUCAUCCUCCAUGAGAAGAGGUGGCACAGCAUCCUCAGGUUCGAAACACAGUGUCCAGGACAACUGAAGCUGUCUUCGAUCUCCCUGUGCCCCAAAGUGAGAACACACAAAAGAGGAAGAAUAGGAGGAAGAGAAAGAGGAGGAGGGGAAGGCAUUCAAGGCUUUGACUAUGGAGGAACGUUUAUUCAUGUCCCCCUUGUGACCAGGGACAAGACUGCACUGUGGGUUUGGUAAGCCUUUCUUCUUACACUUUGAAAUGUAGACACAUUC